UACGUAGGGGGCAAGCGUUGUCCGGAUUUAUUGGGCGUAAAGAGCGUGUAGGCGGCUUGUAAGUCCGCUGUGAAAGUCCAGGGUUCAACCCUGGAAUGCCGGUGGAAACUGUCAAGCUUGAGUCCGGAAGAGGCGAGUGGAAUUCCUGGUGUAGCGGUGAAAUGCGCAGAUAUCAGGAGGAACACCAAUGGCGAAGGCAGCUCGCUGGGACGGUACUGACGCUGAGACGCGAAGCGUGGGAGCAAACAGG
rnacentral:rRNA from 1 species